rnacentral:ncRNA from 2 species
GUGUUAUCACGAGUGGUGGAGGGAAUGGCCCUUUGAAACCACAGCAACCGGUCCUGACGUUCAGGAUGACAGGUGCUAAUUCCACCCCCGCAAGGGGACAGAUGAGAC